UCUUUCUUGGGCUGUGCCAUGACACACAUAAACACAGAGAAAGCUGGAAGAUGGUGUCCACAUCUCAGGUCCUUGGGCUUCUGUUCGUCUGGGUUUCAGCCUCCAGAGGUGACAUUGUGCUGACUCAGUCUCCAGCCACCCUGUCUGUGACUCCAGGAGAAAGAGUCACCAUGACCUGCAAGGCCAGCCAGGGUAUUAGCAAUUACUUACACUGGUAUCAGCAAAAACCAAAUGAGGCUCCAAGGCUUCUCAUCAAGUAUGCUUCCCAGUCAGUCUCUGGGAUCCCCUCCAGGUUCAGUGGCAGUGGGUCAGGGACAGAUUUCACCCUCAGCAUCAACACUGUGGAGCCUGAAGAUGUUGCAACUUAUUACUGUCAACAGAGUAGCAGCUGGCCUGCCACAGUGAUACAGACCAUAGCAAAAACUACCAGGAAAGCAGAAGUGUGAGUCUGAGCUACUUCAGCUGCUUCUGGUGGUGCCUGAACUUUCUUCAAAGUAUUUUACAGAUGCAGACACGUAGCAUGAAUCUUAAAGAGUCUUAUUAAUAAAACCAAUCCUAAGGCCAGUUAUUGAGGUGCAUGCUGGAAUAUCAGAGAGACAGAACAAGCCAAAGCUACCUCACCUUGCCAUUUCCUCAGCUGAUCCUGUUUCCUCAGACUGGAAACCUCUGAGUGCUCAUCCAGAAUGAAUCUCAGCUGAACUGCUGCUAGAAGCCUGAAAGCUUAACCAGCCAAAAUGCUUCUAGUUUCUGGUCCUCACGCCUUAUAUAUCUUUCUGCUUUCUACCAUCACUCCCUGGGAUUAAAGGCUCACUUUCUGGGAUUAAAGGCAUGAGUCACCAUGCUUGGCUGUGUACUUGAACACAUGGAUUUCUGCCUCUGGAAUGCUAGGUUUAAAGGCGUGUGCUACCACUGCCCAUCCUCUAUGUUUAAUAUUGUGGCUGUUCUGUCUCUGACCCCAGAUAAGUUUAUUAAGGUGCACAAUAUUUUGGGGAACACAAUACCACCACACAGACAGCCUUGAGAUUUACACAGACAAUUGAAGUGAAGAGGCCUAGAAAGUUUUCUUGCCUCUGACCUCUCUUCACUCCAUUUUAGCUCCAUAACACAUACAUAAUUUAGUGUUAUAUUUUUCCUGUAUUCAUUUACUUUAGCUCUCAGUGAAUUUGUCAGGAGAGUUAAGAACC